ensembl:lncRNA
GAAACACCUCAUAUGAUGAAGCCUUAUUAAGGUGUUUAUGGUGUUAUGAGUAUGUGAUGCUGCACAAUUACCUUCUCAGAGUCAUUAUGAGCACAUCUACUGCUUCGGGACGAGCUGGAAUCACAGUCUGUCAUAAUUAACGCCAGACAAGAAGAGAAACUAGACAUUCCUUUAAGAAAAAACAAAUGGAUUUAUUACAAACUAUAACAGACAGAGACAUUUCAAAGUGCAGCACAGACAGACGAGACAGACGUUCACAUACACACAUAUUUACUGCUCAAUACAGCACCAAAAAAAAAUUCAAGUAAUCAGUCCAGUCACAGCAAGGAAUUAUGGGUCCUUUUAUCACUAAUGAAAGGCAGGUGUGGCCUGACGGUCUCACGACCUGAUGGGCGAAUCACAUGCUCUGAUGAGUGGGUCUCACGUUCUGAUGGGCGAAUCACAUGCUCUGAUGGGCGGAUCUCAUGCUCUGAUGAGCGGGUCUCACGUUCUGAUGGGCGAAGCACAUGCUCUGAUGGGCGGGUCUUUUCUCUGAUGGGGGAAUCACAUGCUCUGAUCGGCGGGUCUCACGUUCUGAUGGUCGAAUCACAUGCUCUGAUGAGCCAGUCUUUUGCUCUGAUGGGCGGGUCAUAUGCUCUGAUGGGUGGGUCUCAUGCUCUGAUGGGCUGGUCUUACGUUCUGAUGGGCGAAUCACUUGCUCUGAUGGGCGGGUCUCACGUUAUGAUGGGCGAAUCACAUGCUCUGAUGGGCGAAUCACAUGCGCUGAUGAGCGAGUCUUUUGCUCUGAUGGGCGGGUCAUAUGCUCUGAUGGGUGGGUCUCAUGCUCUGAUGGGCUGGUCUUACGUUCUGAUGGGCGAAUCACAUUCUCUGAUGUGCGGGUCUCACGUUCUGAUGGGCGAAGCACAUGCUCUGAUGGGCGGGUCUAAUGUUCUGAUGGGCGAAUCACAUGCUCUGAUGAGCGAGUCUUGCUCUGAUGGGCGAAUCACUCACAUGCUCUGAUGGGCGAAUCACAUGCUCUGAUGAGCGAGUCUUGCUCUGAUGGGGGAAUCACAUGCUCUGAUGGGCGAAUCACACGCUCUGAUGGGCGAAUCACAUGCUCUGAUGGGUGGGUCUCACGCCCUGAUAGGCAGGUCUCACACCCUGAUGGGCGGGUCUUUUGCUCUGAUGCUCACAGUGAGAUCUAAGUGAUGUCACUCAUCAGCAGCUCACUCGUCUAACCGCAGCACUCACGGGUGGAUCUGUGUUUGUGAUUCUCCGCUCUGAUAUUCCUGAAGGAUCUUCUCCAGCUCUUCUAAACACGGGCCUAUCGCUCGCCUUGACACCGGAGCCAUUUUGAACCUAUGAGAAAAAAACAACAAGAAGGACUGAAAGCAGACUGAAGAGAGCUCAGGGUUGCACGAUUCAUCGAAAUAUAACCCAAACGGUGUUUCGUAGUGAAGCACAUCACUCUGAUCUCAAUCUGGGCUCAAUAAAUUCUUCUAUUUAUUUGUAUUAAAAGUCUUG